CAAGAACUAAUCAAGGAAUUGCAAGAGGGAUAUCACAACCACAGGAUGGUAGCACUCUCCAUCUGACCAGUGGCACCCCUCAGGAGGAGGGAGUCGUAGAUCCUAAUGGGAGUACUUCGAGAGCACAUCAGGAAUCAGAUAUGGCUCAGUUAAUGCAGACCCUAAUCAGGAUGGUACAAGCGCAACAAUAAAUACAACAGCAAAUAUUUGAACAACAGCAGAUACAACGAGAUACACAAUAACAUCAGCAUCCACCACCACAACAUAGAGAGCAACCAAUACAACGAAACAAUAUUUCAGAAUUUAAAAAGCUUGCUCCUCCAGCUUUCAAGGGGACUACUGAACCUUUGAAGGCUGACAAUUGGAUAAUGGAGAUGGAGAAGGCCUUCGC
rnacentral:lncRNA from 1 species